rnacentral:misc_RNA from 1 species
AGUUAAACAGUACGUGAAAUUGUUGAAAGGGAAACGAUUGAAGCCAGUCGUACCUUCGGGUAAUCAGCCUUUCGGGUGUGAUUCUGUGGAGUGUGAGGAGCUUAAACACCUUCAUGUUUUGCAUAUUCGUACUCUUGGGUGUACUUGCCCGUGUGGUUGGUUAACAUCAAUUUUGGUGGUCAUAAAAUGACUGGAGGAAUGUAGCUUCGAUCUUGUAUUGAAGUGUUAUAGCCUUCGGUAGAUGUGAUGAUCGAGAUUGAGGAUUGCAACGGAUACCCUUCGGGGCUACCUGUCUGGUCUCUGAUCGUUGCUCUGGUGCCGAAAGCUUGCUUACGGUUAUCAAAGUCGAUGGUCAAUAGGUUAGAAUGGGUUAAAUUCGUUAAGGAUGUUGACGUAAUGGCUUUAAA